rnacentral:rRNA from 1 species
GAACUUAAGCAUAUCAAUAAGCGGAGGAAAAGAAACUAACAAGGAUUCCCUCAGUAACUGCGAGUGAAGUGGGAAAAGCUCAAAUUUGAAAUCUGGCAGCUCUUUCAGGUUGUCCGAGUUGUAAUCUAGAGAAGCGUUACCUGUGUUGGACCGUGUAAAAGUCUUCUGGAAUGGAGCAUCAUAGAGGGUGAGAAUCCCGUCUUUGACAUGGACUACCAGCAUGCCAAGGUGCACUCUCAAAGAGUCGAGUUGUUUGGGAAUGCAGCUCAAAAUGGGUGGUAAAUGCCAUCUAAAGCUAAAUAUUGGCGAGAGACCGAUAGCGAACAAGUACCGUGAGGGAAAGAUGAAAAGAACUUUGGAAAGAGAGUUAAACAGUACGUGAAAUUGCUGAAAGGGAAACGCUUAAAGUCAGUCGCAUUAGCUGGAAAUCAGGCUUGCUUUUGCAAGGUGCACUUUCUAGUUGAUGGGUCAGCAUCAAUUUUAAUCGUUGGAUAAAGUCAUUGGGAAUGUGGCAUCUUUGGAUGUGUUAUAGCCCAGUGUUGAAUACAGCGGUCAGGAUUGAGGAAUUCAGCAUGCCUCUAGGGGCCAGGUUUCGACCAUGUUCAUGCUUAGGAUGCUGGCAUAAUGGCUUUAAUCGACCCGUCUUGAAACACGGACCAAGGAGUCUAACAUGCCUGCGAGUGUUUGGGUGAAAAACCCAUACGCACAAUGAAAGUGAAAGUUGAGAUCCUUAGGGAGCAUUGACGCCCGGACCAGACCUUCUGUGACGGAUCCGCGGUAGAGCAUGUAUGUUGGGACCCGAAA